CCAUUUAUACCUUGGAAGUUCCCUCAAACUCACCUUUUGCUCCUGCGGUUGUUCCUUACCGUUAGGCAACACUAGCUUGAGGUUCACCGGCGUGUCCCAUCCAUAGGCCGGAUCCUCUAGCUUCACCUUAAAGAACACCUCGUAAGCAAUCCCCGGAGUGAGGUUCCUCGUGUCAAAUUUUCCCGUGAUGUCGAGCCAACAAACGUUUUUCAAUCCCACAGCUUCCACAGUCUCGCUUUAAAAAUCAUCAAUAAACAAAAGUUUGUCACUUUGCGUUAAUAAUUAUAGGUCUAAUACCUCGAAUUUUUUGGUUACCAAAAGAAAGAAAAUAUUUUUACCAGUUCGUGUUAAUAAUUAUUGCUAUAAUUUACAUACACAAACUUUAAACGUCGUCUAACCUGUUUUGGUUUUAUCAAGCAUACUUUGAUUCAUACUUCACGUUAUUGUAAAUCAAUAAAUUCAAAUUUGUAAAAAAGAUAUCCAUUUUGUGGUAAUAUUCAUACUAUGGGAUUUAAAUGAAACCUAUCUUACUU
rnacentral:lncRNA from 1 species